rnacentral:rRNA from 1 species
CAGUCGCCACGGUAAUACGUAGGGUGCAAGCGUUAAUCGGAAUUACUGGGCGUAAAGCGUGCGCAGGCAGUUAUAUAAGACAGAUGUGAAAUCCCCGGGCUCAACCUGGGAACUGCAUUUGUGACUGUAUAGCUAGAGUACGGCAGAGGGGGAUGGAAUUCCGCGUGUAGCAGUGAAAUGCGUAGAUAUGCGGAGGAACACCGAUGGCGAAGGCAAUCCCCUGGGCCUGUACUGACGCUUAUGCACGAAAGCGUGGGGAGCAAACAGGAUUAGAUACCCCUGUAGUCCCUGUCUCUUAUAC